GGAGUUAGCCGGUGCUUCUUCUGUGAGUGAUGUCCUUCCUGCCGGCUAUUAACCCGCAGGCCUUCUUCCUCACUGAAAGUGCUUUACAACCCGAAGGCCUUCUUCACACACGCGGCAUGGCUGGAUCAGGGUUGCCCCCAUUGUCCAAUAUUCCCCACUGCUGCCUCCCGUAGGAGUCUGGGCCGUGUCUCAGUCCCAGUGUGGCUGAUCAUCCUCUCAGACCAGCUACGGAUCGUCGCCUUGGUGAGCCGUUACCUCACCAACCAGCUAAUCCGACAUAGGCUCAUCCGAUAGCGCGAGGCCCGAAGGUCCCCCGCUUUCCCCCGUAGGGCGUAUGCGGUAUUAGCCUGGGUUUCCCCAGGUUAUCCCCCACUACCGGGCAGAUUCCUAUGCAUUACUCACCCGUCCGCCGCUCGCCACCAGGGAGCAAGCUCCCCGUGCUGCCGCUCGACUUGCAUGUGUUAGGCCUGCCGCCAGCGUUCAAUCUGAGCCAGGAUCAAACUCUUA
rnacentral:rRNA from 1 species